rnacentral:snRNA from 1 species
GUUCUGGCUUCGGCAGCACAUGGACUAAAAUCAGAACGAUAUACAGAAAAUGAGCAUGGCCCUGUGCAGGGAUGACACGCAAAUCCGUGAAGUGUUCCCUAUUAAG